rnacentral:tRNA from 1 species
GGGGAUUUAGCUCAGCGGCACAAGUCCCUGCCUUGCAAGCAGGCGGUCGUGAGUUCAAUCCCCG